rnacentral:misc_RNA from 1 species
GCAAACUUGGUCAUUUAGAGGAAGUAAAAGUCGUAACAAGGUUUCCGUAGGUGAACCUGCGGAAGGAUCAUUACCAAUUUUUAGCGGAUCUUGGCUUGUCCAUGAUCUCGCGAAACUGUAUUUAAAACCCGCUCAUUAUAAACAAAAAUGUACUUGUAUUAAAUAAUAAAGAUCACUUUCAACAACGGAUCUCUUGGUUCUCUAUAAGAGACAGGCAAACUUGGUCAUUUAGAGGAAGUAAAAGUCGUAACAAGGUUUCCGUAGGUGAACCUGCGGAAGGAUCAUUACCAAUUUUUAGCGGAUCUUGGCUUGUCCAUGAUCUCGCGAAACUGUAUUUAAAACCCGCUCAUUAUAAACAAAAAUGUACUUGUAUUAAAUAAUAAAGAUCACUUUCAACAACGGAUCUCUUGGUUCUCGCAUCGAUGAAGAACGCAGC